rnacentral:rRNA from 1 species
UAUAACGACUCUCGGCAACGGAUAUCUCGGCUCUCGCAUCGAUGAAGAACGUAGCGAAAUGCGAUACUUGGUGUGAAUGCAGAAUCCCGUGUUCCUACAGAUCUUUGAACGCAAGUUGCGCCCGAGGCCUUUCGGUUGAGGGCACGCCUGCCUGGGCGUCACGC